rnacentral:ribozyme from 1 species
GCCCAACUGUAGCUGCUACCUUGAUGUGGUGAUCGGGCUUGCUUAUCGUGAUGACUCAACUGAGCUAUAUUGGCUGGAACACAUGUUCCUUUAGGCCCUGUCAUACCAGGGAGGUCGGCUGGAAGACGGUAAGAUCAAAAGCAGC